CCUGGAUUGACUUCGUUUGAACCGGAGGCGCUGGGAAACCUGGUAGAGGGAAUGGAUUUCCACAGAUUCUACUUUGAGAAUCUUUUGGCUAAGAACAACAAGCCCAUCCACACCACCAUCCUGAACCCCCACGUCCACUUGAUUGGCGAGGACGCCGCCUGCAUCGCGUACAUCCGGCUGACUCAGUUUGUCGACAACCAGGGCCAGCCGCGCUCCAGCCAGUCAGAGGAAACGCGUGUCUGGCAUCGCAGAGACAGCAAGUGGCAGAACAUCCACUUCCACUGCUCAGGCGCGCCAGCUGCGCCUCUCCAGUGAGGGGUUGAAUGCUGUAGUUGUGUCUGUCAGGAAUGAUCUGCUGGAGAGAGAAGAGGAGGAUGAAGUGAUGAAGGAACACAUCCAGUGUUGACUUGGAGGACAUGGCUCAUCACGCCUCAACAAAAAAAAAUCCCUCUUUCACUGGACUCCCAGCCUCCAUCCCCCAGCAUGCAUCUCUACUUUUACAGCUAUGACCCCGGCUCUGUCAGCAUCCACAACAUGAGCUCCUGACAACUAUCCGACAUCGGCUACACAUCGCUCAGCAGCUUGACACCACUAGCCUUCGACUUCUUCUCGUCUUCUUCUUCUCUCCAGCUGGGUGUUUGAUUCGGGGUGGGACUCCUCCAUUCUGCGGUCUCUCCUUCCCCAACAAUAUUUUUGUGACACCAACCCUCUUGUUCUCCUGUGAAUCUACACCUUUGUGACAUAAACACUUCACUGGAAAAACAGUAUGUAAAGUUUUAAGUAAAAUCUAUAAUUAUCAUUACUAUAUUAUGAUUAUGAUUAUUAUUGUUACACAUUUGCAAUUGUAUAUGUACUUUGUAUAAUUCAGAUUUCUUGAUGCCAGUGGUUUUUAGAGUUGAAGGAAUUUUUUUGUUUUAUCUUUUUAAGGAAGCAUGUUUUAUCCCCAUAGUAACAGUGGCUUUUUAUUUUUUAUUGUGGCUGUUAAGUGGAAAAGGAUUAUUGGCCGUUUGUCUAAUUUGCUUCUUCUGCAUGAGUUAAAAACUGCACUUGAAGUCCUGGUUCAAACGUUUCUGUCGGUUUUGGUAUCUUUACUUUUUAUCGUUCGGUCUUUGUUGUUGCUUCUUGGAAGGGGUGUUUCUGAUCGGUGUCAUUGAAGAAUGUAGAGUAUGAUGUUACAGCUGGGCUCAGAAGUUUACAUACAGUCAUCAUGGGCAUGGAUGUCGUUAAGUUGGGCUGAAACUUAUUUAAACUUUUACCUUUCCUGUCUAUUGUUCCAAAAACACAACUUUAAUUAUUUUUAAAUGCAAGUUUGGUUUUACUGUGGAUUUUAUCUCAAGACAGAGAGUCAUAAUUAUACAUACAGGCUCAAAUUUAUGGAGAAAUCCCCACUGAUAUUUGGUAAAUGUUCCUUAGCAAGUUGCAUCUCUACCAAAUUAUUUUGGUACCCAUCAGCAAGCUUCUUUCAUACUUCUGGCUCCAUGUUUGAUCUGAUGUCUUAGCAGGAAUUUAAUAGUUUAUUUUAACUGGUUUGUUUUUUUGGUUCAUUUAUUCUAAAACCAGUUCAGAUGUGUUUUUUGAAUUGUUAUCCUGUUUAAACAACCAGUUGUUGAUUUGAGGUAAAAAGUCUUCCUUUUUCAUUAUUCCCUAUACUUUACGCAAUGUACCAGUAUCACCGACAGGAAAACAGUCCCACAGCAUGAUGCUGCCAACCACCAUGCUUGACUGAUGAUCCAGUGUUCUUAAGCCUGAAACCCCUAACUUGACUCUUCCAAACUUCUUUUCACUGUAGCCAAACAGCUCAAUCUUUCUCCCAUCUGGCCAUAAAACAGAAGCCAUGUACCUUAUUCAAAGUUCAGUUUUGCCUGAAGGUGUCAAUUUUGGAGCAGGGGCUUCUUUCUUGGUCAUCAGAUGUAAACUGUGGACAGUGACACUAGGCUUCCAGAAGCUUCAAGUUCAUGGCAGGUUGAAGCCUUUGUGUCUCCUGGGCUGUCCUAAAUAUUUCCCUUUUAUCUGAUGGUGACCAUUUGGGUCUUAGCAAAGUGGUAUAAAAUCCAUAUACAGUAAUUCAAUGAUUGGGUACAAUUAUUUAAACAGAUCAUCGGGGACUAUCAAAAUAUUUAGAAAAGGCAAUCCUAAAUUGUGUUCCCAAAUCUAAAGUUUUCCUUCUUAGAUCUUUGCUAAGUUCCUUGGUCUUUCCUACUGUUCUUAUCAUUUGUCAGUUCUAUCAAAAAAUAUUUUAAUCCCAGCUAAGAGAAACUGCUAGCUGGAAUCAAUUAUUAUAACUGACCAGAAGUUAAGAAAUUGUAAAACAUUCAGCACCAUUCAUUAGAAGGUAUAUGGUAUAUGAGGUUAGGGUUAGGGGUUCGUAAAAGUCAAUUUGGUUGUUUAUUAUAAGUGAGGCUGGAAAAAGAACUGUUCAAAUAAAUUAAUAAAGUUCUGAACAGAUGAAAGUAAACUUAUGAUCAGAACUGUACAUGACGUGUGUCUGUGGGCAUGGUCGUGCAAGGUAGAGAGGUAGCAUUCACAGUUCACUCCAGGUAACUGAGCACAAUCUGAGGAGCCUGAUGUUGUUUCUUAGCUGCAGUGUUUGCGCAGGAAAGAGUCUUUGCUAAGGUCUGAAGCACAUAAACUUAUCAAGAAGAAAACUUUCUUUCCCACCUUGUUCUAACUUGUGCUCAGGAGCUCUGAUUCAUGUCUUACAACCACAUAAAGCUGCAAAACCUAAAGCAGUGUUGUAAAAAUGCACAAGAACACAUUGUCUACAGAGCUGGUUUUUAGUUCUUUUUUAAGAGCGUAUACAUGCGUCAUAAGAAAAGUGUCAGAUUAGAAGGAAGCACUGCUGAAGACUCCCUCUGUUUUUAGUCAGACCUGAAGCUCAGUGACUCAUCCUGAACCUGUUUGGUGCUUGUUAUUUUCUGGGCAGACGGGGAUGCUCUGUUGGUGUCUCCUGCUGUUGCUUGGAGACAGAUGAACACCCGCCUGAAGCUCAGCGCUUUCUCUUAAAAAGACGGACUUAUUUUUAACCCUGCUACAGCUGCACUGCUGCCUAGAACACAGCAGCAGGUUCUUUGUCUUUAAUUGAAAGUGACAAAAGAAGUCAGAGCUCUGAAUGACGGAUCCUUUGGGAUAUGUGACCUUUCUCGUUUCUGAAGCCAUAGAGCAAAAAGCUGGUGCCACUGCUGCUUCUUCCAAAUGACGCACAUUCAAAAACUACGACUCCAACCCGCAGCUGUGAGGAAUCAUGACGGCUGUUUGCUUGGUGCUUCAAUCAUGUCGGUCUUUUAAUACGCUGUGCAAUAUAUUUGUAUGUGCAUGUAGAUGUAAAGCUUUCAUUGUGUGCUCUUUAAAACCCUGGGAGGAAAUUCUGGAGGUGUUUAUGAGAAAUGGAAAGAGAGGGCCUUCAACCCAGGUCAAAUUAGAUAUUUUUUGCUUUGUUUUUUAUGCUUUUACUUCAUUAUGUUUGGUUUGUGUACAGCAUUAUUAGCCUUUCAUAAGUGCUUGUACCAGAGGCAGCAGGGUAGAACAGAUGGACUUUGCAGCGCUGAAAACCGAUGAUUUGUUUUAGUGAAGGUUCGUCUCACGAUCAACUCUGCUGUUCUUCGUCCACCAAUGGGUUCCUUUGCGUUUUAUCUCACCGCUUGGUCUGAACAAGAAAUUCAAAGAGACCCAGCAGUCGGUGUGGUGAACAGUCCUCAGGUUUUUAUUUAUUUUGAGUAUUUAUUUAUUUAUUUUAGUCAAUGUUUUUAUUGUGCUUUAUUAUUUUUUCUUAUUAAUUUGUUCUCCUGUUGUACAACUCCUGCAAUUGUGCAAAAGUACUGUUUGUUGUUGUUCAAACAGAAAUUUGCUCCAUGUAAGACCAGUUCUUAAAGGGAUAGCGCACCUAAUUACGCCAACAUGCAGUGAGUUAGUUCUUUGGAGUGCCAAAAGUUCCACAAUGUAAAAAAUAAAUGAAUAUUUUUUUUUUAUUAUAAUAAAAUCAAAACCAGAAAAUUAAAUGUAUCCAUAAUUAUUUUAGUACUUCACUAAAGUAAAUAAAAUUAAUAGUUUAUGCUAAAGUUAAAUAAUAAAUAAUCUAUGCAUUUAUAUUGAAGUUCUAAUAAUUAAAAGACACAUUUGGUAAUAAUUUAAUGAUUUAUUUUCCUUAUUGAAUUGCGGCACAUUUGGACCUCCAUAGAGUUUUUUAAGCUAAUGUUUUAUGUGGGACACUUUAUGACUCAUAUUAUACAGGAUUGUAUUUUGUGUGAACUGUCCUUCAUAUGCUUCAUCAACACGUUCUUUAUAGGAUGGUGAAUUUUGUCAGAUGAAGCCUUUUCUCACCACUUAGUUUGUAUUGUACUCAUGUCUCAUCCAAUAAGAACGUUCAUGUCUACUUCUACAUGUUUUAAUACUAAGAGGUCGUUGUCCGAACAUGACCCCGACCCUCCUGAAAAAAAGAAGAAAUAGCAGCAUGUUCAGUACCAAGGUGAUGUUCUUCUGUUCUUUUUAGUGUUUCUAGCCUUGAAAAUCAGUAUGAUAAGACUCACAUAUUUAAAAUGAGGGAGUACACAGUAUUACAGCACUGCUAAUAGCAGCGUAGCUUUCAUCUUCGUGCAUGACAGUCAAAAGGACUCUUGGUUUUUUGGUGUUUUUAUUUGGGUUCUCAUUUUCUACUAAAUGCUGGUGAACUCGACCUUUCUCUAUUUUCUCAGCUUUUUAAGUGCAUAUAACUAUUUUUGUCUCCAGAUAAUAUAAUGAAGAUUAUCCAUAUGGUAAGGAUUAUUAUAUUCAUGAGUGUGGCACUAAGGAUGACUAUGAUGAAGUCGAUGUUGAUGAUGAUGAUGUGUUGAUGAUACUUUUGCAUGCUUUUCUAUGGGUUCUCAGUGUUGUCAGUGCAGUGGUUGUCUCCUAGGUGGAGGUGCUCCAGCAGGAGGUGCAGUCGCACCACAUGAGCACAAACUGACUGUUAUUUGACAGAAAUAUUUGAUCCAGAAAUUGGAUCAGAGAGAGAGAGAGUCCAAUUCAUUACAGCAACAACAGUAGAGACAAACUGGAGCCACCAUGUUCACUCUGAACUUCUGCCAUCUUCCUGCAGCAGAGACUAAGCUGCUCUGACAGCACUGAGCUGGUUUCUCUUCCCAGGGAGUCUUUCUCUCUUUCCUGCUCCCUUUGUUUCCAGCCUUCUUCAAUCAUUUCUCUGCAGUUGGCUCUUUCUAGUUUCCCUUUGUCUCUUAUUGUCAGUUUGACUUUCUUCUGUAUAAUAUUAAUCCUCUAGUUCUCCGAUUCUUCAGAUUAUUGCUUCGUUCUCUUACGUGCUACACGUGUUUCUCUAACUUCAAGAAAAUGUGUUAAGGUGUUAUCAAUAAAAUGAGUUUAAAUAGAAA